rnacentral:rRNA from 1 species
AUACGGAGGAUGCAAGCGUUAUCCGGAUUUACUGGGCGUAAAGGGCGUGUAGGCGGUCUUGCAAGUCAGAAGUGAAAUUCCUGAGCUCAACUCGGGCGCUGCUUCUGAAACUGCAGGACUUGAGUGCUGGAGGGGAUAGCGGAAUUCCUAGUGGAGCGGUAAAAUGCGCAGAUAUUAGGAAGAACACCGGUGGCGAAGGCGAUUACAUGGACAGUAACUGACGCGGAGCCGCGAAAGGCGGAGGAGAAAAAAGGAUUGAAUACCCUGGUAGUCCACGCAGUAAACGAUGAAUACCAGGUGUAGGGGGUAUCGACUCCCUCUGUGCCGCAGUUAACACAAUAAGUAUUCCCCCUGGGGAGUACGGCCGAAAGGUUGAAACUUAACGGAAUUGGCGGG